UACGUAGGGUGCGAGCGUUAAUCGGAAUUACUGGGCGUAAAGUGUGCGCAGGCGGCAAAGCAAAGUCGAGUGUGAAAGCCCCGGGCUUAACUUGGGAAUUGCGCUCGAAACUACUUUGCUGGAGUGUGGCAGAGGAAGGUGGAUUCCACGUGUAGCGGUGAAAUGCGUAGAUAUCUGGAGGAAUACCGGUGGCGAAGGCGGCAUCCUGGACCGACAUUGACGCUGAACGGCGAAAGCUAGGGGAGCAAACGGG
rnacentral:rRNA from 1 species